GGGGAGUUAGGCUAGCUUGGUAGGCUUUGAGCUUUGGGAGUUCAAGACCCGUGUUCAAAUCACGGACUCCCCG
rnacentral:tRNA from 1 species